AGGACGAACGCUGGCGGCGUGCUUAACACAUGCAAGUCGAACGGUAAGGCCCUUCGGGGUACACGAGUGGCGAACGGGUGAGUAACACGUGGGUAAUCUGCCCUGCACAUCGGGAUAAGCCUGGGAAACUGGGUCUAAUACCGAAUAGGACCACAGAACACAUGUCCUGUGGUGGAAAGCUUUUGCGGUGUGGGAUGGGCCCGCGGCCUAUCAGCUUGUUGGUGGGGUGAUGGCCCACCAAGGCGACGACGGGUAGCCGGCCUGAGAGGGUGUCCGGCCACACUGGGACUGAGAUACGGCCCAGACUCCUACGGGAGGCAGCAG
rnacentral:rRNA from 1 species